rnacentral:tRNA from 1 species
GCCGAGGUGGCGAAACGGUAGACGCAGCGGACUCAAAAUCCGCCGUGGGAGACCACGUGGGGGUUCGAUUCCCCCCCUCGGCACCA